GAAAAAUUAGUUAAUUUAUAACAUUAAUUUGUCAAGUUAAAAUUAUUACUUUAAGUAAUAUUUUUCU
rnacentral:tRNA from 1 species